UACGGGGGGGGCAAGCGUUGUUCGGAAUUACUGGGCGUAAAGGGCUCGUAGGUGGCCAACUAAGUCAGACGUGAAAUCCCUCGGCUUAACCGGGGAACUGCGUCUGAUACUGGAUGGCUUGAGAUUGGGAGAGGGAUGCGGAAUUCCAGGUGUAGCGGUGAAAUGCGUAGAUACCUGGAGGAACACCGGUGGCGAAGGCGGCAUCCUGGACCAACACUGACACUGAGGAGCGAAAGCCAGGGGAGCAAACGGG
rnacentral:rRNA from 1 species